UACGUAGGCAGCAAGCGUUGUUCGGAAUUACUGGGCGUAAAGAGUGUGUAGGCGGUUUUCUAAGUUUGGUGUGAAAUCUCCCGGCUUAACUGGGAGGGUGCGCCGAAAACUGGAAGGCUUGAGUGCCGGAGAGGAUAGCGGAAUUCCUGGUGUAGCGGUGAAAUGCGUAGAUAUCGGAAGGAACACCAGUGGCGAAAGCGGCUUCCUGGUCCAGCACCGACGUUCAGGCACGAAAGCGUGGGGAGCAAACAGG
rnacentral:rRNA from 1 species